UACGUAGGUGGCAAGCGUUGUCCGGAUUUAUUGGGUUUAAAGGGUGCGUAGGCGGGCUGUCAAGUCUGGGGUGAAAUCCGGCAGCUUAACUGUCGAACUGCCUCAGAUACUGAUGGCCUCGAGGGAGGUAGGGGCAUGCGGAACUGUAGGUGGAGCGGUGAAAUGCGUUGAUAUCUACAGGAACUCCGGUGGCGAAAGCGGCGUGCUGGACCUCUUCUGACGCUGAGGCACGAAAGCUAGGGGAGCAAACGGG
rnacentral:rRNA from 1 species